rnacentral:piRNA from 1 species
UGCAGAGUUGCGACACAAUGCUUGGC